AAUUUAUGCAGGAUCUGCUGCCUUUCUGCCGUCUGAUUAUGCUGUGUACAGCUUGUUAACGUUCUGCUGUCAAUCUGCACUCAAAUGGUUAUUGGUAUAGGUAUUAGGUUAAUGUUUUAAUGGAGAAUGUGAUUACGAAUAUAAAAUAAGCGAUAUAGUUCAUAUUUUAUAAUUCUAUAAUUUUAUAUUCGCUAUAAUUUGUAGCAAAGGGAACGAAAAACGAAGAAACAAGAUGUAAAUAGAAAGAAAAGAAUGGCGCAUGAGUGGAAUUAGAUUAAGUAAGACGAUACUAAAACUAUAUGUAAUACAGAGAGAUAAGACUGUGUUGACACGAUAGCGUAAUAAGGCCAAUACGCUAAUUGGGUCUUUUAUACAUGUUAAAUUUAUUCGAAAGUACUAGAACAAGAAAUUAUUGGACGGAGUGGUCGAUCUGAACCCUACGUAGUUCAUGACCAACAUCUUCAUGUACACGGUGGCUCGGCCGUCUGACGAACACGCAUAUUCCACGAUUGUAGAGUUUUACAUGGUCGGAAGUUUAACCUAAAGGUAUGCGUUGAUCGCAGGUCGGGGUAAAUAUAACGUGAAGGGUAAUUCUAAUUGGCUGAUACGGGUUAUAGGUUAUACCGGUUUGUUCUCCUUAUUAUAAAUUGCCGGCGAGCAUGGAUGGUGCAGAUGGAGAAGCGGAGCAGCAGGAGGAGUAACAACAAGAAGAAGGAAAAGAGCGUUUAAUUGCUGAUAGUGAGAAAAUGUAUUAUCUCGUUGGUUGUGUUGCGAGCGUUGGAGAAAAUGUGUGAAACGUAGGAAGGGCAGAAAGAAGUAGUUCGUGAAUGUGUAAAUAAGAUGUGUAAAUAAAAGCGUUUAGAAAUGUAAAACGUUUUGCGUAAAGUAAGUAGCGAUAAGAGCGUAAAAGUAUAGAGUGAAAAAACGAGGUGUGUAAUAAAGAUAUGUAAAUAAAAUAAACGCGUACCUAACUUGGGUGUGCGAAAAACUGGAUCGGGAAAGGCAAUAGCGAUGUUGAUUGAGCGUGGGAAUUUGUCAAAAAAUGGGUUAAUUUUGUUAGAAAAUUGUAAAAUGUGUAAAAUAAUUGUAGACGUUAGAAGCGUGAAAGUUGAAAGAAGUAAGAAAGGAAGGGAAAGAGAGUAUAAAAUGAUAUUAAGUAAUACGUAAGGCAAUGUAAUUUUCUGGAUGGCAAAAGAAUGGAUUUGUUUGGAUUCUAGGAGACUGAAGAAUAAACGAAGAUACAUUUAGGAUAUAUGUGUGCAUUGUUUAUUCGACCAUUGACCAUAAAUUGUGAAAGUAGACUUUAAAAAGAUAAAUGUAGAUAAAUGUAAAGUAGGCUUUAAAAAGAUAGAAUAGCUUUUAAAGAUUAAGAAUAUGGUUGCGUUAAGAAAGGUGUAAUUGUUGAAUGUAUGGGUAAUGAAAUAAAAUACCAUUACGAAAGGUAGUAAUUAUAUCUGGGAAUAUAUUAAUAAGGAAUAACACGAUUGGAAUCUUGUAAUUAUAUGAUAAUAUAUGGAAAGUGAUUAACGUUAAAUGACGUCCAUUUAAAGGAAUGAAAGAUAUUAGAAAUAAAAUGGAACGGUAUUAUUAAAUGUAGUAAUUAUAUAGAAUUAUAAUAAAUAUAUAGUGGUAAUUAUAUCCUUGGUGUAGGCCUGGGUGAGAAUUACAGUACGUCACGGAGUCUGACAGGAAAGAAAAACGUUGGAAUAAGGUUUGGCAGAAGGGAAUAGAAAGAAAGAAAAUUGUUGAAAGGCGUAAUGUUAUUUGAGAAAGGAAAGUUGGCAUAGAAAGAAGAGAGAAAUGUAUAGGACUUGGUAAAUUUAAUAAGUGGUAAAUGGGUGAUAGAAGACAAAAGAGCGGUGAUUGUGGAAAAAAUGGAUUAAACAUAAACGUAGCGGUUAGCUCCGCGGUAAGGUGUCGGACUCGUAACUUUUUGGUGACAUGUUGGAUUCUCGAAGCUGCGUGCGGAGCCCUGUUGUUGUUGCAGGAGGCUCGUUUCUUCACCCUGGGUUUUCUUCCCCGGGGUGGUGUGUCCAAACCGUCUCGAGGUAAUGAAAGCUAACCGAUUUUGCUCCCGUAAGCAAUUUUUGUUGUACAUUUGGUAGGUAUGGGAAGAAAGAGAAGAAGAGUACCGUGCCUGGUUGGGGUAGGCAUGUCAUGUAAAUGAGUAAGGACACGAGCAUUUAUCGCACUACAGAUUCAAAUAUAUGUAGAGAGAAUUCUACCGGAUAUUACAAUUACAAAUUAUAAACGUUAUUAAAUAAAACGACGUAAGUAGUUAAAUGAAUAAUUGACCUAGAACAACAUAUUAACAUAAUCUUAUAUUAGAAACAGAAUUAGAGCAGAACUAUCUGUGUGAAAAUAUUAGAAUUACACGUAUAUUUAAUGAUUAACGUAAUUGUUGAACAACGGUAUAUGCUUGGAACGAA